GAUGAACGCUGGCGGCGUGCCUAAUACAUGCAAGUCGAGCGAACAGACGAGGAGCUUGCUCCUCUGACGUUAGCGGCGGACGGGUGAGUAACACGUGGAUAACCUACCUAUAAAACGGGGAUAACUUCGGGAACCCGGAGCUAAUCCCGGAAAAUAUAUUAACCGCCAGGGUUCAAAAGUGAAAGAGGGUUUUGCUGUCACUUAUGGAUGGAUCCGCGCCGCAUUAGCUAGUUGGUAAGGUAACGGCUUACCAAGGCAACGAUGCGUAGCCGACCUGAGAGGGUGAUCGGCCACACUGGAACUGAGACACGGUCCAGACUCCUACGGGAGGCAGCAGUAGGGAAUCUUCCGCAAUGGGCGAAAGCCUGACGGAGCAACGCCGCGUGAGUGAUGAAGGUCUUCGGAUCGUAAAACUCUGUUAUUAGGGAAGAACAAAUGUGUAAGUAACUAUGCACGUCUUGACGGUACCUAAUCAGAAAGCCACGGCUAACUACGUG
rnacentral:rRNA from 1 species